CACUAAUUUUCACUGCUUUCUUCUGACACUGAUUUCUCUCUCAGCCCUUCUAAGGUUCUGGAAGAUUUCUAUGGAACCUUAAGGGCACCAUGGGUUUGAAAAUCAUUAGCUAAGAUAAUUUCCAAAGGUGUAUUCUUUUUAAAAAAUUCUGAUUCUUUGAUUUUAUUGAUUUGUAAGAUAAGCAAUAUCUAAAGAAUCACAUUUCUCAGUGAUUAUGACAAGCUUUAAAAACUAUUUUUUAUUUUUUUAUUUUUGAGACAGGGUCUUGCUCUGUCACUUAGGCUGGACUGCAGUGGCAUGAUCACAGCUCACUGCAGCCUCGACCUUCUGGGAUCAAGCGAUUCUUUCACCCUAGCCUCCCAAGUAGAUGAGACCAUAGGCACUUCUCUGAAAAUGAAGAACCAGAAGAAGAUGGGCAUAGGGAAGGAAUCAGAAUUAUUAAGAUGGUGA
rnacentral:lncRNA from 1 species